rnacentral:lncRNA from 1 species
UCGCAGUAAUUCAGUUAAGAUACGCAUUGGUAUUGCGGGAAGCGCGUGUGUUAGGUGUAUUGUUGUCGGUUGCAGUUUUGCUAAUGAGCAAUGUAAAUACAAUUUUUUUAUGACAAUUAAUAUAUUUCGAUCUACUGUUGAAUGAAUGAAAGUGCCGUUAUGAAAUUUUGCUGAUUUAAUCCGAUAUAGUUAUAGUGUCCUUAUGUAUCAUUUUCCUGUACAUAAUAUCGAUUUUGUUUUCUAACCUAACUGCGAGUGAGUCGUAAAUUAUUUGCAAUCCUUGUGACCUGGGAAAUACUAUUUGUUAGUGAUGUUUUUUUUAUUUUAUAACUUUCUGAUAUUUAAGCUUCAAAACUGUUUCACAGAGUUAUUGUGCGGGUCGUGUUAACUCUUGGAUACCUAUUUGGUUUUUUUAAACAAUAAAAAUCGGCGAGGAAAAUAUGAAAGAAUAAAAUGGAUUUCGACAAAGAUCCAACAUUGCAAGAAUGGACCAGAGAACAACCCCUGGCAGUUUUGGCGUUGGAUAGUGCUGAUAGAGCAGUACUUAGGAUAGCAGGCGAUUGCUCCUCGUCGCACACAGACCACGAAAAGAAGGUAAUUAUGGGACAGAAACGCAAUGAAAGAAGCUAUAUGUGCAAUCAGGGAAAAGAAAGAUGGGAUACUUAAAGGCAUUCAAACACUACUAGGUACCAAAGGCUACACUUCGCCGGUUGGUAGUAAAAGAAGAUUUACCUUUAGAUUUAGUAACAUCUGCUAAGUUAGGCUGAAAGUAGGUUUUGUCACCUGAACUAGAACGAGCACUUGUUGAUUACAUCUUAAAAAAAAAAAUAAAAAAGAUUAUAAGAGGAAAGAAAUGCAAAAAUGAUUACUAUUCUACAAGUUCAGAAAGUGACGAAGACGUCAUUCCUGACGACCGUACCAAAGGCAGUCCUGACAGAAGCUGUGUGGAUGAUGCUAAAUGUAUUUACUGUAGUGGCUUAUACUCAGAAGAUCGAUCCGGAGAAACUUGGGUACAGUGUGUUUCAUGUAAGCUUUGGGCACACGACCUAUGUUCUGGUGUGGAUGAAGCCAUUUUUGUAUGUGAACACUGUUCUCCGUUAGAUUAAAUAUGGGCUAGGUACCUGGUCCAUAUUUAACUCAACAUAGUGCAUAUUACCCAAACCUUUCCAAAUUCUUAAAAUAUUCAGUUUGUUUUUGUCUCAAUUAUUUUUCUGUUUUAAAUUGAGAAAAAAGUUUAUUUUAGUUUAUUGUUAGAUUCUUCGAUACAUUUACUAAUUAAUAUUUAAUAAAAUAUUAUGAUUUGACUGCAACGCAUGGUGUUAUUGUUAAUUGAGUUUAUGGUAGUCCAUAUUUACCGCACUUACUCUACUAAUAAAAUAUUAGUUUCAACAAUAUUAUUUUGUUUUAUCCUUUUCCCCGUUCAUCCAAAUCGCGUUAGGUCAACUGUCCACCCUAACUAAACAUCAGGGAAAUGUGCUUUGUACCAAGGGUUCAGAUUAGGUUAUGAUAUGAGAGAUCACCAUGGUAUAAUUCGUAGACAACUGUACCCAUCCGUUCUAAUUUGGACGGGUUUGAUUUAUCACUAAAUAUAAUAUUCUGAACUUGUUCAUAGAAAUAAUUUAAAGCAAUGGUGCACUGUGAUUACAUGUAAAGGUCUCGUUGAAAAUGUCAAAUUCAUCAUAUUAUAUACAUACAUAAUUGUUUGACUAACUAAACGUUAAACUUCUUACUAUCAAAUAGAGGGAAAUAUGUCUCAUCAAUACGCAAUGUUGCGAGUUACCUGCUUUAUUUUUACAGUACAUUCAAUACUACGGAAUUUUAUGUGUUUAGGUUAUAACAUCAUCGAUAAAAAUUCCUUACUUCAUUAUGUCACCCACUGUAUUCUGCAGUAUUAGAUAAUGAUGCCCAUAAUUAAAUGUAUAAUUUUUCUAACAGAGGCACUACUAAUCACUGAAAUGGUAUAAUUGUUGUUUUUAUUGUUAACACUAAUUUGCAGGAAGUGUUAUUCCAGUAAAAGCUCUUUCGAUAGAAUCUUAUAAUUUCGUGCAAAGGAAAUUGAUUUCCAUAGGUGCAGGUAAUAAUCAGGAAACGGAAGUAAUUUGCAGGUGCGAUAGAUAUUUAUUUACAUUAAUUAGAGAACAGUUCAACAUCUAGUUUACCUACCGUCAAAUUAGUAUCGUCGUUAAUACAGUAGAACCUCUAUAACUCGAAUAUCAAGGGAGACGCCAAAAAAAUCAAUUUACAGAGUUUUCGACUUAUGGAGGAUUUUGACUUAGGCGGAUUUUGUAGAACUUGUAGAGGUUACGAUUUAUUAUUACUAAUGAGUUAGAGAGGUGAAAUAAAUAAAAAUACAAGUUACAGAGGUAACAAACAUAUUUUUAUUUACUUUAAAUCAACAUUAUUUUAAAACACCCUUACAAUAAAAAAUAUAUGCAGGUACAUAGUAGGUAUGUAUUAAACAGUCAGUAUUUAAAUUAUCGAGUUGUAAAGGUUGUAAAAUAAAAAUUUGCUAUGUUCGAGAUACAGCAGGGGUCCAAUU